GACGAACGCUGGCGGCGUGCCUAAUACAUGCAAGUAGAACGCACAGUUUAUACCGUAGCUUGCUACACCAUAGACUGUGAGUUGCGAACGGGUGAGUAACGCGUAGGUAACCUGCCUGGUAGCGGGGGAUAACUAUUGGAAACGAUAGCUAAUACCGCAUAAUAUUAAUUAUUGCAUGAUAAUUAAUUGAAAGGUGCAAUUGCACCACUACCAGAUGGACCUGCGUUGUAUUAGCUAGUAGGUGAGGUAACGGCUCACCUAGGCGAAGAUACAUAGCCGACCUGGGAGGGUGAUCGGCCACACUGGGACUGAGACACGGCCCAGACUCCUACGGGAGGCAGCAGUAGGGAAUCUUCGGCAAUGGACGAAAGUCUGACCGAGCAACGCCGCGUGAGUGAAGAAGGGUUUCGGAUCGUAAAGCUCUGUUGUAAGAGAAGAACGGGUGUGAGAGUGGAAAGUUCACACUGUGACGGUAUCUUACCAGAAAGGGACGGCUAACUACGUG
rnacentral:rRNA from 1 species